rnacentral:rRNA from 1 species
GGACCAUCAUGUCGGUCGUGCCUCGGUACGUACUGGUAUUGUUGGUUUCUCCCUUCUGACGAACCAUGAUGUCAUUUAUUUGGUGUUGUGGGGAACCAGGACUUUUACCUUGAGAAAAUUAGAGUGUUUAAAGCAAGCUAACGCUUGAAUACAUUAGCAUGGAAUAAUGAAAUAGGACGUUUGACCCUAUUUUGUUGGUUUCUAGGAUCGACGUA